rnacentral:lncRNA from 1 species
CUCUUAUCCCUGGUCAGGGAGAGCAUUGAAUAUCAGAAGGUGUGGGAGUUCAGAAAGUUGGAACUCUCUCCACAAGUUAAUGACUCGAUAGAUCUUGGGUUUUUACUCACUAUGCAUCAACACAUGUGGUGUGAGCAAGGUGAGUGACACACAGAAUAGUAGGAGAUGGACUACACAUCUCUUCUAUCUACCAAUUGCCUUAUUAAAAGGACUUUUCCUGCUUGGGGACAAAGAUAAACAA